rnacentral:rRNA from 1 species
CGGAGGGUGCGAGCGUUAUCCGGAUUUACUGGGUUUAAAGGGUGUGUAGGCGGGCUGGUAAGUCAGGGGUGAAAUCCCGGAGCUCAACUCCGGAACUGCCUUUGAUACUACUGGUCUUGAAUAUUGUUGAGGUAGGCGGAAUGUGUCAUGUAGCGGUGAAAUGCAUAGAUAUGACACAGAACACCGAUUGCGAAGGCAGCUUACUGGGCAAUUAUUGACGCUGAGGCACGAAAGCGUGGGAUCAAACAGGAUU